CAACGUUUAUUAGUACAGCACUUCAUUAUAUGGUCCAGCAAAACAACAUUCCCCUGGACUAACCAAUAGAAACAUUCUUUACCUUAGCUGGACAUGACAUACAUGUUUGAUAUGAAAUACGUUAGUUCUUAGGACAGAGAGUAUAGAUAAUAGAAACACAUUUCUAUAGAUUGCAGUUUACCAAACAGGAAACAGCUUGCAACGCAUCAACUGUGUCUUGUAACAGCCAAGUACACUAUACUGACAAGAGAAUAAUUUGUUGAGAACCCUUAUUAUUUUACAAUGAGUUUACUGAAAUUCACUUUGUUGGGCAUACAUGUGUGGUUCUGUAACAAAUUAACACUUAAAUAAACUUAGUACACAUUCUUAUUCACAACAUAAAUACCCAAUUGAAUAUAUAACAAUACCCUUUAUGUCUACAUUGACUACCAGAACAAAUGGUAAAGUAAAGUAAUAAAAUAAUAAUAAUAAUAAUGAAAUAAAGUUGGUAAAUGACACUGUUGGGUUGUUAUUCUUCAUAUGCCCACAGGGUGGCGCCACUAAACCGUAAAUAGCGUCUAUCUGAACAUCAGUAGACGUGAACGUUGUGCAACCAACUGACCAUUACGAAAUUGCAUGUAAUCAUCAUUAAAUAAUAAAUAAUAGUGUGCAAUACAGAUUCAAACAUACAGCGAAGCACAGUCCUCAGACACUCAUAACAUUCUAGAUUGAAUAUUAAUGAAGUUGGAAGGUCGCUAGUUUAAUACUAUGAUGCAUCAGAUCAAACAACUGAUUAAGAACAGAAAGUCCACUUGCACUUACUUUAUAUGCACGUACACAAUAUUCCAAGGGAAAACUCAAAAGUACUGCCAAAGAACAGUAAUUAAACUAACUAGAGUGAAGUUAGAGAACUGUUCACUCUAACUUGCUAUAUUGCGUCUGCUCAACGCUCACGUUGUGUUCUCGCUUCAGGGAUGUGAGGCUGCAGUAACAUCAAGCAAUCUGAUUGGUCAGAAUUCUCCAUCACGUCUGAGUAUAACUGGGCCUUUUGAACAAAUAAUAAUUAAAAAAGUUACAGAGCUAAUGAUAAACUUACAUUUGUAUUAGUUAAUAUCAGGCAAUGCAUCCAAGUUCCUGCAUUUCAUGAUAAUAAACCCGUCUAGCAAAACAUUCUGGCAAACAUCUGGCAAUGGGGUGCAUUUAUGGUUGGAGAUAUCAAGUCGAAAUAUAGCUGCAAGCAGUGAUGACGGGCCCAAGCACAACUGUGGUCCAGUUCCACCUAGUGGCUUUCGGAAAACAAUGGGUGGACACAUGCAUUUGGCAUUAUUCUAAACAAUUUUGAAGCAAUUUGAGUAAAAAAUAAGAGGACUAUUUUAAAGUCUGUUAUAAGAGCCACACUUCCUGCUGCCAGGUGGUGGCGCUAUAUACAUUUUUUAUCUAAAUCUCACAUUGCACACAGAAGAUAUGAGACACUUCCUGUUUCCCAUUUUUCACCAUUUAUUUAAUACCUCACCAUUGCAACACCGAUAUAUCAAAAUCUAUUAGCAAUUUAGCACCUUCAAUGUCUUGGCAGAAUGUCAUCUAAAUGUGGUGACAGUCUCAUGAAUCACCUAGAAAGAGUAUUUAAAAGUUCAGAGAAUUCAGAUAAUCCAUCCAUCCGUUCGUCCAUCUGUCAUUUUUAAUUGUUAAUUUACAUUUUGUUUUGCUAUCUGAGUCAUUUACCUUUUUUAUUUAAACAUAAAAUGGCUUUAAAUUAAAUUAACAAAUGUAAUUCAAGUAAUUAGGUGUUGAUUUUAAUUUAAUAUGAGCAGAGUAGUCAUUUUGGCUUGUAAUUUCAUUGCAAUUCUGUGGCAAUAGGUUUCAAUUUAUUUUAUUGUUGCAUUAUUUCUCUGUUCACUGUCAAAAUAAAUUAAGUACAUUAACUUUGAGUCUGCAUUCGUUAUUUAUACACACACCAGUUAAAUACCCUCUAAAUGAAUAGACAUAAAUUAGGUUAGAAUACUGCAUGUCCACCCAUAGAAUAAUUAUUAAAACUAAAAUUACCAACUGGUUACUAACAAACAACUGCUGAUCCACAACGUUGCCACACCGUGGUCAUGACGGACUGGCACCGUUCCAAAGUUAUGUUGUGGCAAUGAAUACAGGAAUUUCACUUUUCCUGUUGUCACAAUGUAAUCAGUUACAUUGCCAUGAUAUUUUUUCAUCAAAUUACAGUGCAGUUAGGAAAUGGCUAUGUAAUUUGGCUAGCUGGGAUUACAAAAUGACUGAAUUUGCUUGUCUCAAAUUUUGCGAUGCACUUCGCUCCAUUCUUUUAAAUGCAAUUACAUGUAAAUAUUUUCAUGCAUAAUUACUGAAUAUGCAGUUAGCAACCAAAAAACAAAUGCACAGAAAAAUACCAUACAUUUAUGUGAACCUGUGGGUACUGAUAGACACUUAAUUAUGCAUGUAUUAAAAUGUUCUGCCUCAGAGAUUGCAAGAAAACUUAUCUAAGGUUAAAAUAGACGUACAAUAAAUCUGUAAACUAAAAACACAAAUGAGGAUUCAAUAAGUAGGCCUGUUGCCAUUAUUACAUUGUCUGAUAUUUAAAUCUAGUAUAUGUCCACAUACGAACAAAUACAAUUAGAGUUCAUAUAUUCAAGUGUAUUCAUUUAAAUUCCACAAGUAUUUCAUUUUUCUUUACAUAUAUGAAAAUUGUCUUUUUUGUCAUAUUGUCUUAUUCUUUAUGUUGCAUAUAUCUAUAUAUGACAAACUUUCUUGAGGAGUUGGAUGUCCUGCUGUCCUCCUUCCCAGAGGAUGGUAGGACACUUGUGGUUCUUGGCGAUUUCAACAUACACCAAAACAAGCCCCAGGCCACUGAACUGAAUGCUCUUCUGGCUUCAUUUGACUUGGAAAGUCUACACACCACAGCAACUCACAGAUCGGGCAACCAGCUGGACAUCAUUUUUACACGCCAGCAUGUACUACACCACCCAGCCCCUGGCUAUCUGACGCCAUUCGUAAACAUCAGACUGACCUCAGGGCAGCUGAGAGGAGAUGGUGGAAAUGUAAAGAUCCAGCAGAUCUAGAACACCUGCUUCAAAAGUGAACACUCCACUGAGACUGCCCUGCUGUCUGUCACUGAGACAGGCAAAAGCUGAAUCCAGAUCAUCUGACCUGAUUCUGCUGGACAUUUCUGCAGUCUUCGACACAGUCAACCAUCGGUUCAUAUUCUCCACCCUUUCUUCGCUGGGCAUCACAGGAACUGUGCUUGACUGGUUUAAUUCAAAUCUCUCUGGUAGGUCCUUCAAGGUAGCCUGGAGAGGUGAGAUGUCCAAGCCAAAUCAGCUACAUGCUGGGUUACCUCAGUGUUUGGUGCUUGGGCCACUUCUCUUCUCUAUAUACACAACAUCACGUGGACCCAUCAUUCAGUCACAUGGUUUCUCUUACCACUGCUACGCUGAUGACACAUAACUCUACUUGUCUUUCCAGCCCAACGACACCACAGUGACCGCUCGAAUCGCUGCCUGUCUGGCAGACAUCUCAGCCUGGAUGAAGGAACACCACCUGCAACUUAACACAGCCAAGACCGAACUCCUUGUCUUUCCAGCCAACCCUGCUGUUGAACACAACAUCACCGUGCAGCUGGAUGCAACACAGUAACGCCUUCCAAAAUGGUCAGAAAUCUAGGGGUAACAUCGAUAACAAAUUAAAUUCUGUCAUUGCAGGAUCAAGAUCAGAAAGAGGAGCUGGCAUACAGAACAUUCACAAGGUAUGCUUCAGCAUACCAUAAAUCAUUUCUGCAGAGCUACGUGCCCACUAGAAGCCAGCGGUUGGCUAAGGAGCAACGCCUUGUUGUACCAAUACAAAGAGGCACCAAAACACUUUCAUGGACUUUCGGCUUCAUCAUACCACGUUGGUGGAAUGACCUUCCCAACUCCAUCCAUGAAGCUGACUCACUUUCUGUCUUCAAAAACUGCUAAAAACACAACUUUUCCAUGAGCACUUAACCAGCCAAUAAAAAAAAAACUUCUUGUUGCAAUUUAAUCUGUUUUGAAUACUAUUCAGACGCUAGUGAAACUUUGUAGUAUGGCACUUUUUGUACCACUGUCUCCUUAA